rnacentral:rRNA from 1 species
GAGCGGCGAACGGGUGAGUAACACGUGAGUAACCUGCCCCUGACUCUGGGAUAAGCCCGGGAAACUGGGUCUAAUACCGGAUAUGACGCGCUUUCGCAUGGGAUGCGCGUGGAAAGUCUUUUCGGUCAGGGAUGGACUCGCGGCCUAUCAGCUUGUUGGUGGGGUAGUGGCCUACCAAGGCGACGACGGGUAGCCGGCCUGAGAGGGCGACCGGCCACACUGGGACUGAGACACGGCCCAGACUCCUACGGGAGGCAGCAGUGGGGAAUAUUGCGCAAUGGGCGAAAGCCUGACGCAGCGACGCCGCGUGGGGGAUGACGGCCUUCGGGUUGUAAACCUCUUUCAGCAGGGACGAAGUUGACGUGUACCUGCAGAAGAAGCGCCGGCUAACUACGUGCCAGCAGCCGCGGUAAUACGUAGGGCGCAAGCGUUGUCCGGAAUUAUUGGGCGUAAAGAGCUCGUAGGUGGCUUGUCACGUCGGGUGUGAAAGCUUGGGGCUUAACUCCAAGUCUGCAUCCGAUACGGGCUGGCUAGAGGUAGGUAA